CCUUAUGCACUUCUUCCCAGAGCCCCUGGCAACCAUCAUUCUGCUCUGUUUCCACGAAGUCUAUUUUAGGUACCUCAUCUGGGUGAAAGUCUGCAGUAUCUAUCCAGUAAGAGGCUGAUUCUAUCCAACUGAGUGUCCUCGUGGGUGCACUUUGAAGUCUGUGUCUAUAGAGAGAUAGCUUGUAUUCUCUCUGGUCUUGAAGCCGACUUUCACAGGGACAGCACUUGGGCCCCAGCCUGGAUUUCUGCUGCAGCAUUCUCUCGCAAUUUGGAGUCUGGGCCACGGGGAAAUUGCAGACAAUUUGGAUGAAAACGGUUGGAAAAUUGCAGUGUUUAGGCCUCUCCCACCAGCCCCUUCAGGUUUUUUUUUCUUACUUUCUUUCUUAUUUCUUUUUCUUUCCCUUCACACCCUCCUCCCGCCCCCAGAAUUACUUUAGAAGCAGGGAACAACCGACUAGACUGGCUGGAUUCUCUUUUCCCAGUCUGUGGCGUAUUUUGUAAACAAACAUGUAAAUGGAUACAGAAUUUAACCACCCCCAGACAAAGGGGCUGACUAGAGAAGGGAAAGCAGUCAGCCUCCUUGUGAGAAGGCAGUCACUGGAGGGCCGGGGAAUAUUUGUCCUAGUUAAUUGAAUUUCUGAUUUGAGAUAUGAGUUUACUGGCAGACCUUUACUCUCUUGCAGAUUGUUCUAAAAUGAACCCACUUACCUAUCUCCAUGGUUAAUUAAUUAUUUAAAAUUUUCAAACCCUGUUUAAUUCUAAGAAAGAAUUUGAGGAAACUGCCUUAUUAAUAGUAGAUUAAUGACACCUUUUCAUUGGUCAUUGAGAUUCAUGGCCACGGUGCUGGAGGUAUUUAUCAUUGCUCUGCACGAUGAAUGGGAAGGCGUAGCAUAGAGGAUGCAGAUUACACAGAUCGUCAGUUAUCAGAGGCAUCAGCUGUCCCUAUCUGCGGGCUCACUCACUAGUCUCUCUUCUACAGUGGUCAGUUGAGUUUCUUUGAUCUUCAUUUAAGAGCUCCACCAUAAGCAGUACAUUUUAUCUGUAAACAGACCUAAUUACUGUAAGUUUCUCCCGUGAUACUGGGCUAAAAUUCAUUUCCCCAUAGUCACUCAUUCUAAUUCAUGAUUUACUGAGUGGACAAAGAAGGGGUGCCUUGUGGGAGUGGGCAGGAGGAGGAUGCCAUGCUUCUUGAGGUCUGUGUUGAACAGAGACUUGGUGAUGAUAGGGUAGGGUGGAGUGAGUUAGCCUUGGAUUGAAUUGAGCUCUGAAGCUUAGAGAUAAACGUUGACAGAUUGGCGACUGAGGUCAGCCUAAGAUUAGCCUUACAUUGGGCGUAUGCUACAUUUUGUUGUUACUGUGACAAAUGCCAGAAAAAAUUACCACCAACAACAAAAAACCUUACAGUUAAGAAAAGAUUUAUUUUGCCUCAUGGCAAAGUACAAAUGUUAACAUUGCAGGGCAUGGCUAAGUGCACUGCUCAGUUCAUGGUGCUCAGGAAGGAGGGUGGGGUAGCCCAGGAACUUGAUGAAACCCCAACCAGGCCCCAUGGUAUGAUAGAUUCAUAGCGUGAAUCUAUCAAGGAACUUACUCAUUGAUUAGGUCAGAGACCCCAGAACUUGGAUCCACCACCUGAGGACCAAACCUUCAGCACACAAGCUUUAUGGGGAAAUACUUCAUAUCAAAGCCAUCAUGGAGAAGCAACGAGUUUGAAGAGGCCAGGAAAGCCCACAGAAGUCUGGCUCAAGAAUGAAGCUGAAAGGUGGCUGUGAUGAAUGGGACAUGACAGAAAGAAAAGCAGAAGAACUUGGUGUCAUGACAAGGAUACUUUGAGAAGGAAGGAAAGGUGCCAGAAAAAGAGCUCAGUCACUAUGCACACUGUAUCAUCUGUGAAGACAUUCACAUAGGCACGGGGAUACAUGUGGGCUGUGCAAUCCCAGGCCAGGGGAGGUGAAGACAGGAGGAAUCCUGGGGCUUGCUGGCAAGCUUUAGGACAAUGAGAAACUCUGUCUAAAGUAAAUAAAUAAAUAAAUAAAUAAAUAAAUAAAUAA